GAAGAUCUGUGUCAGGAGCUAUAGAAGA
rnacentral:sRNA from 1 species